GUCUUUUUGAAUUAAUAAUAUAAAGUCUAAUCUGCCCACUGAUAAUAAAUUAAAGGGCUGCAGUAUUUUGACUGUACAAAGGUAGCAUAAUCAUUAGUCUCUUAAUUGGUGACUUGUAUGAAAGAUUUGAUGAGAUAUAAACUGUCUCUUUAUAAUUUUUAGAAUUUAAUUUUUUAGUUAAAAAGCUAAAAUGUAUUUAAAAGACGAGAAGACCCUAUAGAGUUUAAUAUUUAUUAAUAUAUUAAAAAUUUUUUGUAUAUUUUAUAAUUUUAAUAUGAAUAAUUAUUUUGUUGGGGUGAUAGAAAAAUUAAAAUAACUUUUUUUAGAAUUUUACAUUGAUAAGUGAUUAAGUGAUCCGUAAUUUACGAUUAUAAGAAAAAAUUACCUUAGGGAUAACAGCGUAAUUUUUUUUUUUAGUUCAAAUAAGAAAAAAAGUUUGCGACCUCGAUGUUGGAUUAAGAUAAAAUUUAAAUGCAAAAGUUUAAAAUUUUGAUCUGUUCGAUCAUUAAAAUCUUACA
rnacentral:rRNA from 1 species